rnacentral:snRNA from 1 species
GGAUGUGAGGGCGAUCUGGCUGCGACAUCUGUCACCCCAUUGAUCGCCAGGGUUGAUUCGGCUGAUCUGGCUGGCUAGGCGGGUGUCCCCUUCCUCCCUCACCGCUCCAUGUGCGUCCCUCCCGAAGCUGCGCGCUCGGUCGAAGAGGACGACCAUCCCCGAUAGAGGAGGACCGUUCUUCGGUCAAGGGUAUACGAGUAGCUGCGCUCCCCUGCUAGAACCUCCAAACAAGCUCUCAUAAGGUCUUAGACCUGUGUUCAAACCCAGGCUCCUCUGCAGACAGUGGGAAGCUAUCCCAAGAGUUCUUUCUCUUAAGCUUUUGGUUUAUUAAAUGAUAAAUAAAGC